rnacentral:lncRNA from 1 species
AAAAGAAAAGCCCCCCACGCGACUGUUCAUCUUCCUCGCGAGGGGGGGUCUCCGCCGGCGCCAUUGCCGUCCGCUCCCUCCGGCGUCCGACCGUGCCGUCCCCGCUCGCCCGUGCCGGCAUCCGAGCCCCGACGUCCGUCAGCCGCACGCCGCUCCGCCUGCAACCUCUCGCUGCUUCGUCUGCCGAACCCCCACGCCGGUACGCGACCCGCCUGUCGAUCGCGUCCGCAAUCCGCCGCUGCAGCACCUCCGAGCGGCUCUUGCAGCAGCUCGCUGCCACCGCUGCUGCGAUUUGAUGCCCAGCUGCGACCCGCUUCUGCUCCGCCUCGCCACAGCCGCUUCUACCACCCGACGCCGUUGCUGCCCCGCCUGACGCCGAGCGACGCCCCGCCCCCGCAAGUGGCGCCGCCGCCCUGUCAAUCUGUCGCCGGAGCUACAACCCGAAGCUCUCGCCGCCCCAACACUGCCUCCGCUCGCCGCCUGCAGAUCUGAGAUCCCCACAGCAGCCGAUCCAGAUCCGACGCCCUUCCUCCUCCAGAUCCAGAAUCGCGCCGCCGCCGAGCCAACCUUCCCCGUGCCGCUGUGUCGCCAUCCCGAAGCCGCUUCGCCGCCCCGACGCCGUCUUCACCCUGCUCCAGCCCGCGCUCGGGGUCCCUCGCCCGCGACGCCCGCACCCAGCCAGACCCGCGACGCCGCCGCGCCAAUUCCCGAAGCUCCUGUUGCCGCGCCGCCGUCGUGCCGCUCCCGGUGCCCUUGCCGGAACCCUAGCCGGCGAUCUCCCCUCGCCGGACCGGCCACCAGAUUUAUUUUUUCUUUUUUCUUUUUCAAAAAAAAGGAAAGAAAAAAGAGAAAAGCAAAAGAAAAUUUAGGUAUUUUCUUUAUCUUAUU